UAAGAGUCUCAUUUCCACUGUUUCUACUGGAACUCGCUUGACAGUACCGACGCGCUUCCACCAUCUCUCUGCAGAAGGGUGUUAAGAGAUUCAUUUUCACGACACAGUCACCAUCUUCUAAACACAUCAUGUAUGAAUUUGGAGACAUAAUUGCGUUUCCGAGGGGUCGUGGCUCCAUUACCGCAUACAAGCACUAUGCUAUUUAUGUGGGCCCACAGAGCGGUGUAAACAUCGGCCAGGGUAAUAAUGACAUCUUUCACCACACAGGUAAAAAGUGUGAAUUUGGUAAACUUCAAGACAUGAGAGGAGGGUUACGGGAGAGAGUGGACAAUUACCUGGAGAAGCCUGGGAUGCUACCAAAGGAAGACUUGGAGUGGGUAGCAAAACUAACAAGAAAAGAAAAUAUAAUCAGGCGAAUCAAUGAAUUAAAAAAAAAAGAAAACUGGGGAAAGUAUGCUGUCUCUUCCAACAACUGUGAACACCUUGCUACCUAUGUGCGCUAUGGGGAGAGAUUGUCAAUUCAGGAUGGUACAUUUGUUGGCUCCCUUCAACAACGACUUGAGAACAAGCAAAACACUCAGGCCUUAGCAAAAUUAGAA